rnacentral:rRNA from 1 species
CCUUGUACACACCGCCCGUCACACCAUGGGAGUCGAUUGCUCCAGAAGUGGCUGCGCCAACCCGUAAGGGGGGCAGGUCCCCAAGGAGUGUUCGGUAACUGGGGUG